CCUACGGGUGGCUGCAGUGAGGAAUAUUGGUCAAUGGCCGAGAGGCUGAACCAGCCAAGUCGCGUGAGGGAAGACGGCCCUACGGGUUGUAAACCUCUUUUGUCGGGGAGCAAAGAGAGUCACGUGUAACUCUUUGAGAGUACCCGACGAAAAAGCAUCGGCUAACUCCGUGCCAGCAGCCGCGGUAAUACGGAGGAUGCGAGCGUUAUCGGGAUUUAUUGGGUUUACAGGGUGGGCAGGCGGCGGUGCAAGUCAGCGGUAAAAUUGCGGGGCUCAACCCCGUACUGCCGUUGAAACUGCGUGCCUUGAGUGCAGGAGAGGUAUGCGGAAUGCGUGGUGUAGCGGUGAAAUGCAUAGAUAUCACGAAGAACUCCGAUGGCGAAGGCAGCAUACCGGCGCGCAACUGACGCUGAUGCACGAAAGCGUGGGUAUCGAACAGGAUUAGAUACCCGAGUAGUC
rnacentral:rRNA from 1 species